rnacentral:rRNA from 1 species
GCGGCGAACGGGUGAGUAACACGUAGGUGAUCUGCCCAUCAGACGGGGACAACGAUUGGAAACGAUCGCUAAUACCGGAUAGGACGAAAGUUUAAAGGUGCUUCUGGCACCGCUGAUGGAUGAGCCUGCGGCGCAUUAGCUAGUUGGUAGGGUAAAGGCCUACCAAGGCGACGAUGCGUAGCCGACCUGAGAGGGUGAACGGCCACACUGGGACUGAGACACGGCCCAGACUCCUACGGGAGGCAGCAUG